rnacentral:rRNA from 1 species
AUUGAACGCUGGCGGCAGGCCUAACACAUGCAAGUCGAACGAGUGGCGGACGGGUGAGGAAUGGCUGGGAAACUGCCUGAUGGAGGGGGAUAACUACUGGAAAAGGUAGCUAAUACCGCAUACCAUCGGAUGUGCCCAGAUGGGAUUAGCUAGUAGGUGGGGUAAAGGCUCACCUAGGCGAAGAUCCCUAGCUGGUCUGAGAGGAUGACCAGCCCCACUGGAACUGAGACACGGUCCAGACGCCUACGGGGUUCAGCAGUGGGGAAUAUUGCACAAUGGGCGCAAGCCUGAUGCAGCCAUGCCGCGUGUAUGAAGAAGGCCUUCGGGUUGUAAAGUACUUUCAUCGGGGAGUCGUUACCCGCAGAAGAAGCACCGGCUAACUCCGUGCCAGCAGCCGCGGUAAUAC